rnacentral:rRNA from 1 species
UACAGAGGUCUCAACCGUUGUUCGGAUUCAUUGGGCGUAAAGGGUGCGUAGGUGGCGCCGUAAGUCAGGUGUGAAAUCCCGGGGCUCAACCCCGGAACUGCACUUGAUACUGCGGUGCUCGAGUACUGGAGAGGAGAUUGGAAUUUACGGUGUAGCAGUGAAAUGCGUAGAUAUCGUAAGGAAGACCAGUGGCGAAGGCGAAUCUCUGGACAGUUACUGACACUGAGGCACGAAGGCCAGGGGAGCAAACGGG